UGAGUGUGGAGGUGUUUGAGCGCGAUGAGUGGAAGUGAUGGCGUACUUUCUCCCUGUGAAAUGGAUGUGAAUAUUAAUAACCCUUUCCUUAAUAAACGCACUUCCAAGUUGAUCCCAUUCAAUUUUUACUAUCCGUAAGCUUCCUUCCCUCAGUUUUCUGCUGACCUUUGUGGGGUUUUUUCUGACCGUUUACUGGCCCGAAUCACUAGCGACAUCACACAGUUUGUGUGUCCUGGUUUGAUCAUUGUUUAAUACCAUUGUUUGUACAAGCUGUGGCUAACUUUCACUUUUAACCUCUUGUGGCCCUCACAGAGAGAGAGAGAGAGAGAGAUGAAGAACUCCUGUCAGUCCAGGGUCUGAUUUCUGCCCCUGAGCACCCACCACUCCCACGUUGUUCAGCGCUGGGACCUCCAUGAAUUAUAACUGGCGCAAUGCAAGGCCAUACAGUAGGCCUGUUAUGCUGUCCACUGGACCAAGACCUGCUCGGCCUGUUUGGCGUCAAGACUGAGUUGAUAGAUCUCCCUGCUGAACCUCAUCGACCCCAGGAUCACUUGAAAAACUGCAAUGAUGUCUCCUG